rnacentral:rRNA from 1 species
GACGAACGCUGGCGGCGUGCUUAACACAUGCAAGUCGAACGGAAAGACCCUGCGUUUGUGGGGUGCUCGAGUGGCGAACGGGUGAGUAACACGUGAGUAACCUGCCCUUGACUUUGGGAUAACUUCAGGAAACUGGGGUUAAUACCGGACAGGAGCUCCUGCUGCAUGGUGGGGGUGGGAAAGUUUCGGCGUUUGGGGAUGGACUCGCGGCUUAUCAGCUUGUUGGUUGGGUAGUGGCUUACCAAGGCUUUGACGGUUAGCCGGCCUGGGAGGGUGACCGGCCACAUUGGGCCUAAGGUACGGCCCAGAGUCCUACGGGGGGCAGCGGUGGGAAAUAUUGCACAAUGGGCGGAAGCCGGAUACAGCGACGCCGCGUGCGGGAUGACGGCUUUCGGGUUAUAAACCGCUUUCGCCUGUGACGAAGCGUGAGUGACGGUAAUGGGUAAAGAAGCACCGGCUAACUACGUG